rnacentral:rRNA from 1 species
UACGUAGGGAGCAAGCGUUGUUCGGAUUUACUGGGCGUAAAGGGCGCGUAGGCGGCAAAUUAAGUCAGCUGUGAAAUCUCCGAGCUUAACUCGGAACGGUCAGCUGAUACUGAUCUGCUAGAGUGCGGAAGGGGCAAUCGGAAUUCUUGGUGUAGCGGUGAAAUGCGUAGAUAUCAAGAGGAACACCGGUGGCGAAGGCGGGUCUCUGGGCCGAUACUGACGCUGAGGAGCGAAAGCGUGGGGAGCGAACAGG